rnacentral:lncRNA from 1 species
AUGUCCCCAGCGCCUGCGUGGGGGUCUGACCCCAUCAAUCAAAUGCCUCCCCCAGACACGGCAGAGAUGAUCUCAUGGAGCCGAAGACCUCUCUCACCUGCUCCAGACCCUCCUGCUGCUUGGUCCUCCCUCCCACAGAGAUGCCCUGACUCUGUAUCCUGCCCCCACCACCCCCCGGACUGGCCAUCUGCACACAAGUGCCCUAUAUUACCUGGUCUCCUUUUCUGCCUGAACAAACAGCUGUCUGACUAGACCCCUGGUCCUGGCCUCUCUACAAGAGCCUAUCCUGUCCUUUGGCUUCCAGAAGAUGAGAGCUAUUAAGAGGCCAAGAAUCGGGGCACCCGGGUGGCUCAGUUGGUCCGGCGUCUGACUUUGGCUCAGGUCAUGAUCUCACGGUUUGUGAAUUUGAGCCCGUGGGUCGGGCUCUGUGCUGACAGCUCGGAGCCAGGAACCUGCUUCAGAUUCUGUGUCUCCCUCUCUCUGCUCCUCUCUCUCUCUCUCUUUCUCUCUCUCAAAAAAUAAGUAAAGCUUAAAAAAAAUUUUUUUAAGAGACUAAGAAUCAAAAGCCACAGAGAAAUGCAGGCCGGAUGCACGCUCUGAGGCUCCAUGAACACACUGCUUCUCCACCCCAAUCCACCACUCUCCUCCUUUCUCUCUCUCUCUCUUUUUAAAUGUUUAUUUAUUUUUGAGAGAGAGAGAGAGAGACAGACAGACAGACUGUGAGUGGGGGAGAGGCAGAGAGAGAAGGAGACACAGAAUCUGAAGCAGGCUCCAGGCUCCGAGCUCCGAGCUGUCAGCACAGAGCCCGACGUGGGGCUCGAACCCAGGAGCUGUGAGAUCAGGACCUGAGCCGAAGCUGGACGUUUAACCAACUGAGCCACCCAGGCGCCCCUCCUUUUUCUCUUUCUCUUCCUUAAUCAGUCAGAGUUUCUGAUUCCUGACGUGGAGCUUGGAAUGGGCAGGUUAGGUCAGAAAAAAACAGAAUUGGUAUAUCUCAAAGGAAGAGUCUGGACCAGACCCCAGGGGCAGAACCCAAGUGUGGAGAGUCUUCACUCACUUUGCCCCAUCUCUGUCCCCCUAUUGGACCCUGCUAGAGUCCUGAAGUUACUGUACAUGCUCAUUGAUCCCUCUCGAGUGAAUAAGCUCUUACUUCAUCCCCAGGAGCCAAUAACCUGCCCAGUGGAAGGUGGUGUGAUGUAACGAUUAAAAAUGAAUUUGGAGGGGCGCCUAGGUGGCUCAGUUGGACUUUGGCUCGGACUUUGGCUCAGGUCAUGAACUCGCAGUUGAUGAGUUUGAGCCCUGCGUCGGGCUCUGUGCUGACAGCUUGGAGCCUGGAGCCUGCUUCUGAUUCUGUGUCUCCCUCUCUCUCUGCCCCUCCAGUGCUCAUGUUCUCUCUGUCUCAAAAAUAAAGACAAACAUAAAAAAAAAAUUUUUUUUUGU